GACGAACGCUGGCGGCGUGCUUAACACAUGCAAGUCGAACGAGGUCCAACCGGUGGCAACACCGGGGACGGCCUAGUGGCGAACGGGUGAGUAUCACGUGAGGAACCUGCCCCGAAGACCGGGAUAACCCUCCGAAAGGAGAGCUAAUACCGGAUGCCCUCACCGGACCGCAUGAUCUGGUGAGGAAAUGGAUUCCGCUUCGGGAGGGCCUCGCGGCCUAUCAGCUCGUUGGUGGGGUAACGCCCACCAAGGCUUCGACGGGUAGCUGGUCUGAGAGGACGAUCAGCCACACUGGGACUGAGACACGGUCCGGACUCCUACGGGAGGCAGCAGUGGGGAAUAUUGGACAAUGGGGGAAACCCUGAUCCAGCGACGCCGCGUGGGUGAAGAAGGCCUGCGGGUUGUAAAGCCCUUUCAGUGGGGAAGAAAGCCUCGACCUAACACGUCGGGUCUUGACGUAACCAUAGAAGAAGCACCGGCUAACUCUGUGCCAGCAGCCGCCG
rnacentral:rRNA from 1 species